rnacentral:rRNA from 1 species
GACGAACGCUGGCGGCGUGCCUAACACAUGCAAGUCGAGCGGGGAGGAGGAAGCUUGCUUCCGAAUCCUAGCGGCGGACGGGUGAGUAACGCGUGAGCAACCUGCCUCAAACAGGGGGAUAACGCAUCGAAAGAUGUGCUAAUACCGCGUAAGACCACAGCACCGCAUGGUGCAGGGGUCAAAGGAGCGAUCCAGUUUGAGAUGGGCUCGCGUCCGAUUAGCUAGUUGGUGAGAUAACAGCCCACCAAGGCAACGAUCGGUAGCCGACCUGAGAGGGUGAUCGGCCACAUUGGAACUGAGAAACGGUCCAGACUCCUACGGGAGGCAGCAGUGGGGAAUAUUGGGCAAUGGGCGAAAGCCUGACCCAGCAACGCCGCGUGAGGGAAGAAGGGUUUCGGCUCGGUAAACUCCUGUCCUCAGGGAAGAGCAGAAGACGGUACCUGAGGAGGAAGCCCCCGGGCUAACUACGUG